rnacentral:rRNA from 1 species
GGUUAAGCGACUAAGCGUACACGGUGGAUGCCCUGGCAGUCAGAGGCGAUGAAGGACGUGCUAAUCUGCGAUAAGCGUCGGUAAGGUGAUAUGAACCGUUAUAACCGGCGAUUUCCGAAUGGGGAAACCCAGUGUGUUUCGACACACUAUCAUUAACUGAAUCCAUAGGUUAAUGAGGCGAACCGGGGGAACUGAAACAUCUAAGUACCCCGAGGAAAAGAAAUCAACCGAGAUUCCCCCAGUAGCGGCGAGCGAACGGGGAGGAGCCCAGAGCCUGAAUCAGUGUGUGUGUUAGUGGAAGCGUCUGGAAAGGCGCGCGAUACAGGGUGACAGCCCCGUACACAAAAAUGCACAUGCUGUGAGCUCGAUGAGUAGGGCGGGACACGUGGUAUCCUGUCUGAAUAUGGGGGGACCAUCCUCCAAGGCUAAAUACUCCUGACUGACCGAUAGUGAACCAGUACCGUGAGGGAAAGGCGAAAAGAACCCCGGCGAGGGGAGUGAAAAGAACCUGAAACCGUGUACGUACAAGCAGUGGGAGCACGCUUAGGCGUGUGACUGCGUACCUUUUGUAUAAUGGGUCAGCGACUUAUAUUCUGUAGCAAGGUUAACCGAAUAGGGGAGCCGAAGGGAAACCGAGUCUUAACUGGGCGUUAAGUUGCAGGGUAUAGACCCGAAACCCGGUGAUCUAGCCAUGGGCAGGUUGAAGGUUGGGUAACACUAACUGGAGGACCGAACCGACUAAUGUUGAAAAAUUAGCGGAUGACUUGUGGCUGGGGUGAAAGGCCAAUCAAACCGGGAGAUAGCUGGUUCUCCCCGAAAGCUAUUUAGGUAGCGCCUCGUGAAUUCAUCUCCGGGGGUAGAGCACUGUUUCGGCAAGGGGGUCAUCCCGACUUACCAACCCGAUGCAAACUGCGAAUACCGGAGAAUGUUAUCACGGGAGACACACGGCGGGUGCUAACGUCCGUCGUGAAGAGGGAAACAACCCAGACCGCCAGCUAAGGUCCCAAAGUCAUGGUUAAGUGGGAAACGAUGUGGGAAGGCCCAGACAGCCAGGAUGUUGGCUUAGAAGCAGCCAUCAUUUAAAGAAAGCGUAAUAGCUCACUGGUCGAGUCGGCCUGCGCGGAAGAUGUAACGGGGCUAAACCAUGCACCGAAGCUGCGGCAGCGACGCUUAUGCGUUGUUGGGUAGGGGAGCGUUCUGUAAGCCUGUGAAGGUGUGCUGUGAGGCAUGCUGGAGGUAUCAGAAGUGCGAAUGCUGACAUAAGUAACGAUAAAGCGGGUGAAAAGCCCGCUCGCCGGAAGACCAAGGGUUCCUGUCCAACGUUAAUCGGGGCAGGGUGAGUCGACCCUAAGGCGAGGCCGAAAGGCGUAGUCGAUGGGAAACAGGUUAAUAUUCCUGUACUUGGUGUUACUGCGAAGGGGGACGGAGAAGGCUAUGUUGGUAGGGCGACGGUUGUCCCGGUUUAAGCGUGUAGGCUGGUUUUCCGUGCAAAUCCGGAAAAUCAAGGCUGAGGCGUGAUGACGAGGCACUACGGUGCUGAAGCAACAAAUGCCCUGCUUCCGUGAAAAGCCUCUAAGCAUCAGGUAACAUCAAAUCGUACCCCAAACCGACACAGGUGGUCAGGUAGAGAAUACCAAGGCGCUUGAGAGAACUCGGGUGAAGGAACUAGGCAAAAUGGUGCCGUAACUUCGGGAGAAGGCACGCUGAUAUGUAGGUGAAGUCCCUCGCGGAUGGAGCUGAAAUCAGUCGAAGAUACCAGCUGGCUGCAACUGUUUAUUAAAAACACAGCACUGUGCAAACACGAAAGUGGACGUAUACGGUGUGACGCCUGCCCGGUGCCGGAAGGUUAAUUGAUGGGGUCAGCGCAAGCGAAGCUCUUGAUCGAAGCCCCGGUAAACGGCGGUAGUAACUAUAACGGUCCUAAGGUAGCGAAAUUCCUUGUCGGGUAAGUUCCGACCUGCACGAAUGGCGUAAUGAUGGCCAGGCUGUCUCCACCCGAGACUCAGUGAAAUUGAACUCGCUGUGAAGAUGCAGUGUACCCGCGGCAAGACGGAAAGACCCCGUGAACCUUUACUAUAGCUUGACACUGAACAUUGAGCCUUGAUGUGUAGGAUAGGUGGGAGGCUUAGAAGUGUGGACGCCAGUCUGCAUGGAGCCGACCUUGAAAUACCACCCUUUAAUGUUUGAUGUUCUAACGUUGACCCGUAAUCCGGGUUGCGGACAGUGUCUGGUGGGUAGUUUGACUGGGGCGGUCUCCUCCUAAAGAGUAACGGAGGAGCACGAAGGUUGGCUAAUCCUGGUCGGACAUCAGGAGGUUAGUGCAAUGGCAUAAGCCAGCUUGACUGCGAGCGUGACGGCGCGAGCAGGUGCGAAAGCAGGUCAUAGUGAUCCGGUGGUUCUGAAUGGAAGGGCCAUCGCUCAACGGAUAAAAGGUACUCCGGGGAUAACAGGCUGAUACCGCCCAAGAGUUCAUAUCGACGGCGGUGUUUGGCACCUCGAUGUCGGCUCAUCACAUCCUGGGGCUGAAGUAGGUCCCAAGGGUAUGGCUGUUCGCCAUUUAAAGUGGUACGCGAGCUGGGUUUAGAACGUCGUGAGACAGUUCGGUCCCUAUCUGCCGUGGGCGCUGGAGAACUGAGGGGGGCUGCUCCUAGUACGAGAGGACCGGAGUGGACGCAUCACUGGUGUUCGGGUUGUCAUGCCAAUGGCACUGCCCGGUAGCUAAAUGCGGAAGAGAUAAGUGCUGAAAGCAUCUAAGCACGAAACUUGCCCCGAGAUGAGUUCUCCCUGACUCCUUGAGAGUCCUGAAGGAACGUUGAAGACGACGACGUUGAUAGGCCGGGUGUGUAAGCGCAGCGAUGCGUUGAGCUAACCGGUACUAAUGAACCGUGAGGCUUAACCUU